rnacentral:rRNA from 1 species
GUAGGUGGCAAGCGUUGUCCGGAAUUAUUGGGCGUAAAGCGCGCGCAGGCGGUUCUUUAAGUCUGAUGUGAAAGCCCACGGCUCAACCGUGGAGGGUCAUUGGAAACUGGAGAACUUGAGUACAGAAGAGGAAAGCGGAAUUCCACGUGUAGCGGUGAAAUGCGUAGAGAUGUGGAGGAACACCAGUGGCGAAGGCGGCUUUCUGGUCUGUAACUGACGCUGAGGCGCGAAAGCGUGGGGAGCAAACAGGGAUUAGAUACCCUGGUAGUCCACGCCGUAAACGAUGAGUGCUAAGUGUUAGGGGGUUUCCGCCCCCUUAGUGCUGCAGCUAACGCAUUAAGCACUCCGCCUGGGGAAUACGGCCGCAAGGCUG